AGGAUGAUGGUGAUGUUCUUGUUGAGAGGGAUGAGUAUAGGGCAAAAGAAGGGGCACCGGGAUUCAAGAUUCUACUGGCUUAUAUGAUUUGGCAAGUCUCAUGACAAA